rnacentral:lncRNA from 1 species
AGACCCAGGCGCGGCGUUUUACCUGCAGCGGCUGUGCUCGCCCCGCCGCGACCCCCGCAGGACGGAGCCGGAUCCCCCUGCACUCGGGCGGACCUGGGACCCUCAGAGGCGAGCCGGCUGCCUCGGGUCACACAUCCGCGAACUCCGGGGGCGGGCUCCCCAGGACGCCGCCGACCCCCCACGACCCCCAGCCCUCCCGCUUCCGUGGAAAGCCGCCCCGACGACCCCUGUGCGGGCUGUUGAGGGGCCGCACCCCGCCGACCGCUGUGGGAACACCUCCGCGCGUGCGGCGGGGACGCGGCGAGUCCGGGGCAGGAAGAACGCACGGGUAAUUGCACCUUCGGCAGGUGUUGGGCGGGAGCAAGGGGGUCAGACUCGCGCUGCAGGGGGAGGGCGGGGGAGGCCUCGCUGUCCUGGAGGAAGGGGACAAAGACCCCUGCCCAGGAGCCUGGGAGCCUUUGAAAGUAAUGAUUUUUUGGCGGGGGGGGGUUGUCACGAGACACCCUAGACAUUUCUAAAAGGCCCCCUCCCCGCUGCCGGGUGGAGAGGGAGCGUGGGGGGAUCCGCCUUCUGCCCCCGAGCCCCCAGCCAGCCUGGGCCCCCCAGGGUCACCCUGGGGCUCUGAAGGGGGCUUCGGCCGCUGGUUGAAUGAAGGGCCACAGAAAAUGAAGCUGGCGCAACGACCGCAGAACCCUCAGUGGGCACCAGGACCACGGAGCUCAGGGUGCCAAUGGUGAUGGCUGGGGGUGGGGAGUACUGUGGGCAGCAGGGGAUGCUGAGCGGGGUUUGGGGCUCCCCCUUUCCAUACUCAGUCUUCCUGCCAGCCUCAGAGCUGAGUACACCGUUGGCGAUUAAUAAGCGCUUGCAGCUCCCUUCCCUGGCCAGCCUGAGGGGAGCGGCAGUGGCCCGUAUGGGGUGGGGGUGGCGGUGGAGUGCGUCCUGGCGCAGAGCUGGCACACAGCACAAACAAACGCCUUGGCGGGAGUGGGUCUGUCCCGGAAGGGAGCCCAGGGGUUAUUGGGGUUGGGGCUGCGCCCCAAAGCGGGAGGGCCCUGCGAGAAGGGAGGCCCUGGCUGGAGGGGGACCCUGAGACUGGAGGUGCCGGACCCGGAUGCGGGGCCAGAUGGAGACAACAGGAAGGAAAGAGACCUUCCUGGUCACACUUGGGCCACAGGAGAACAGGCAGCGGCCCAGGAGGAUCCAGGGUCCUGAUGGUGGUUGAGAAGCUGGUUCUUAGUGAUCACUCAGAAACGUCGGCCUGGCCUUGUGGGGUCAGACCUUGCAUCUCAGUCAGCCCAGGGAGAAGAAGAAGAUGGU